GGAGGUGGAGAACUGGAGGAAGGUGGUGUUGGGACAUUGACUGGAGGAGGUGAACUGGAGGAAGGUGUUGCUGGGACAUUGGCUGGAGGAGGUGAACUGGAGGAAGGUGUUGUUGGGACAUUGGCUGGAGGAGGUGAACUGGAGGAAGGUGUUGUUGGGACAUUGGCUGGAGGAGGUGAACUGGAGGAAGGUGUUGUUGGGACAUUGGCUGGAGGAGGUGGAGAAGGUGCCACGGCUUGAGGCGGGGGUUGGGCUGGAGAUGGAGGCGAGGGAUCGACUUCAGGAGGAGGAGGAGCAUCCAAUGGCGGUGGUGGGGACGAGGGUUGAGGGGGAGGGGAAUUGACAGCAGGAGAUGAUGGCGG
rnacentral:lncRNA from 1 species